rnacentral:lncRNA from 10 species
UGAAGAGAGGAUAAUUUCUCCUUGUCUGCACAGAACGCAGCACACCUUCAGCCCUUCAAAGACGGGCAGCUUUGGCUGCACCCCUGGGCAGUUCCCUGGGUAUGCACAUUGAUGCAAUUAUAAUGUCCUCGCUAUGAGAUUUCCCACCACCCACGCUGGUGUUCACAUCUAGCGGCAUCACAGAGAGGUAGAACUAAAGGGAAGAAGUUGAUGGAUGCCAUCUGGUAUUGCAGAUGAUGACAGGAAGUGUGGAGUGAAGGAUGCCGUGACACGCUUUGGUCCCUAACAGUGUAAGCGGCAUGAGGCAAGUUAUCUUCUGUGUCACUGACUUCACCACAUGAAAACCAGGUCACUGUCUCAUUGCCCUCCCAUGGAUAACUUAAGGAAGAAGCCCUCAAAAGGAUUCUAAAGUUAUUGCAAAUACAAGGUGUUUUCUUAAUUCUCCCUGAUAGUCAUACCAGGUUUUCUCAGCUAUGAAGAGGAAAACUAACAGAUUCCUGAGUCAGCAACACAACCUGCUUGAGAAUGAGGACAACACAGAACAGAGCAUAACUGAGACAUGGGAAAAAUAGCUUUCAGAUCUAUAAAAAAGAAGAGGAAACAUACAUGGUUUAAGGUAGGAGAAACAAGCUAAAGAGGAAAAACAAAAAUGACCAUAGGAAGCCAGGCCAGAGUAAGAAGAGUCUGUUGUUUUUAACAGAGUUUCUCUAUAUUCCAGAAAUGUGUAUAGUACCCAUAUAUCCCUUGCAAGAUUGUUUUGGAGAAAUUGUUCCAACUAAAUAAAUAAAAAAUCAGUCAG